UAAUAUACUAAUUAAAUUGUGAAUUCAGAAAUUAAAUUUUAUGCUUCUGUUACUUCACCAAAUGAUGAAACUGUUAGUUAUAUCUGAGGUAUGAAAUCGCCAGCUUUAAUAUUUAUUCAACAGUGUGUCAUGGAUGGAAUAAAUUCGGAUGUAAAGCAACGGUACAGACAUCCUAAUCCAGAUGCAGGAAUCAAGUUUCCAUGAAUUCUUGCCUCAAUUUUCUUAGUGGAACAGAAAGCCAGCGGACGAGCCAUAUGACUCGAGGAUGAUCAAGGUGAUCUUCCAUGGAAGAUUUUCUUUUUUUCUUAAUUGAUCGAACGCGGAACAAUCACGAUUGCUCAAUGAACAGGGAAUUGAUACCGCGGUGCUGCAACGAUUUCGUUCCACUCGUGACGAUUUCUCUUCUAUCCAUGAGAUGCUUUCAACCAAUUAACGCAACGUAUUUCAAUGCAUCACCGUAAACAAAGAGGAUUCCGCAAAAUGCGGCGAAUGUGCCCCAUUCAUUCAAUUAAUUCUACUUGGACCGAGCUAGUCAAAGGAGAUCCAAAGACCCUUACAAGUUCUACCUGCCCCAUUGAGUACCGGAGAUGGUCACAUGACAUUGAUUAUCAAUGAGAACAAACAUAGCUGUGAAGAAGGGUCGUAGAGGGAAGUUGUUAAUGGCAAGCGAGCAACAACGGGUCAGUAAACAGUAGGAGGCACUUAAUGACUGCCAGUAUCGAUUACAGUGAACAAAGGUGACGCUUGUCAAUUGAACUCCCUCCUUGGGUGCUUGCGUUAGAUCUCCGGGUUAUCUGUGACCCCUAGUGCAGUGACAUUCAAUGAGUAGGAUGAGAUUAACAUAGGGUCGUUAGAUCAUCGCUCAGGUGUAAACCCGGUGAUAAAAAUAUAUUUAUUGAUGAUUUUCAAGAUUGGACAAAGUUCAUUCUGAAAGGGGAUCUUUUAUUUCCGACUUCCUCCAAGUAAAUUAGCCCACAACAAUGGGCCAGGAUAAAAUCGACCAACCGUGUGUCUACUCUUCCAGGUCAAAGUUUAUGGUUGGUUGAACUUCAGGUCGAGGAAGAGAGAAGAAAAGAAGGGUAUACACGUGGCACUCAUUAAAACGUGUCAAUUACUGAACUGUAAGAUCUUGUGCCUUAUAACUUGAAGUAAUACAGAGACUCUUGAAAUUAAUCAAAUACUUUUUAUUUAAUCAAAAUGUAGUGAUUAAUUAUAGAUCUUUGAUAAAAUAGAUUUUUA